rnacentral:rRNA from 1 species
CGGCGGACGGGUGAGUAACGCGUGGGUAACCUACCCCAAAGUCCGGGAUAACAGCGGGAAACCGCUGCUAAUACCGGAUGUCUUUACCUUGGGGCAUCUUGAGGUAAAGAAAGGUAACGCUUUGGGAUGGGCCCGCGUCCCAUUAGCUAGUUGGUGAGGUAACGGCUCACCAAGGCGACGAUGGGUAGCCGGCCUGAGAGGGUGGACGGCCACACUGGGACUGAGACACGGCCCAGACUCCUACGGGAGGCAGCAGUAGGGAAUAUUGCGCAAUGGACGGAAGUCUGACGCAGCGACGCCGCGUGAGCGAUGAAGGUCUUCGGAUCGUAAAGCUCUGUCCUUGGGGAAGAAGGCGAAAGCUUGACGGUACCCAAGAAGAAAGCCCCGGCUAACUACGUGCCAGCAGCCGCGGUAAUACGUAGGGGGCGAGCGUUGUCCGGAAUUACUGGGCGUA